rfam:Vigna angularis cultivar Jingnong 6 scaffold182_216, whole genome shotgun sequence.
GCAUCCAUGGCUGAAUGGUUAAAGCGCCCAACUCAUAAUUUGCGAAUUCGUAGGUUCAAUUUCUACUGGAUGCA